GAUGAACGCUGGCGGCGUGCUUAACACAUGCAAGUUGAACGAAGUGGCGGAUGGGCGAGUAACACGUGAGGAACCUGCCUUUCACAGGGGAAUAACACUGGGAAACCAGUGCUAAUACCGCAUAGUGAAAGAUGGCCUCGCGCCUGAUUAGCUAGUAGGUGAGGUAACGGCUCACCUAGGUGAUGAUCAGUAGCCGGACUGGAGGUUGACAGGCCGAUGGGGGACGGAGACACGGCCCAGACCCCUACGGAAGGAAGAAGUGGGGAAAAUUGGGCAAUGGCGAAAGCCUGACCCAGCAACGCCGCGAAAAGAAAGAGGGUCUUCGGAUUGUAAACUUCUUAGACAGGGACGCGGUACCUGUAGAAUAAGCCACGGCUAACUACGUGCCAGCAGCCGCGGUAAUAC
rnacentral:rRNA from 1 species